GAUGAACGCUGGCGGCGUGCCUAAUACAUGCAAGUCGAGCGAAGCGGGAACGGGUGAGUAACACGUGGAUAACCUCCUAUAAGACUGGGAUAACUUCGGGAAACCGGAGCUAAACCGGAUACGUAUAGAUGGAUGCGCGCUGCAUUAGCUAGUUGGUAAGGUAACGGCUUACCAAGGCAACGAUGCAUAGCCGACUUGGGAGGGUGAGCGGCCACACGGUAACGGAGACACGGUGCAGACGCCGACGGGAGGAAGCAGGAGGGAAGCGGCCGAAAUGGGCGAAAGCGUGACGGAGCAAUGCCGCGUGAGUGAGUAAGGGCUUCAGAUCGUAAGACUCUGUUACUAGGGAAGCGGUACCUAAUCAGAAAGCCACGGCUAACUACGUGCCAGCCGCCGCGGUAAUAC
rnacentral:rRNA from 1 species